AUCUGGAAUGAAACCUGGCUCGCAGGAUUCUUCUACAAGCCUUGCAACCACGAACUGUUUGUGAAGCAAUCACUCAACAUGGAGAUGGCCAUUGUGAUGGCCCGGGAAUCUGGCAUGGAUUGGAUAAUAAUCCAUCUAGGCACCAAUGAGUUGCUAUAUCCCGGUGGAGCUCCCGAGUAUUCCAUCAGACGCCUGCUAGCUGACGUCCCCGAUGAUGUUGACAUGGUUAUUUUUCCUAACUAUGCUGGGUGAGAAGGAAACAAGGGUCACGGUGAACUAUUGCUAGCUUGAGGAGAUGCUCACAUGAAGACAUGGUUGCCGGAGCAGUUUCUACCUUUUCAAGUUGAUUGUUGGUGUAUGAGCCAAGACUGAAGAUAUACAAGCUUAUGUCUAUGAUUCUCAUGCACGCUCUUCCAUUGCCGGCAUCCAUCUUGCUCUCUGGUGGUGGAAGCAGCAACGAGGCGCUCGCGGUUGUGUGGUGAGUGCACUUCACCUUCAUGUGCAAGGGUGGUUCAUCCACCCGCCUCCAUCUAUGAAUGAAGUGCCUCAAGAAAAACUAGGAGGUUGAGAAGCUGAUAGGUAGAAUAGUGAAAUGGUUGAAGCCCGGUGGCCAUAUUUUCAUUAAGUAAUCGUGUUUCCACCAAUUUGGAGGUUCCAAGAAGAAAGUAAAGCCUACACACUACCAAGAGCCAAGCUUUUAUAGCAAGGUAUUUGUGUGAUUGAUCAGAACUACAUACAUAAAAGAUGUAAGGACACAAUAUGAUUUGCCAUUUUCAAUGCUAGCACAUGGAGCAGCAAGAGGGAGGAGAGGAGCUACCACGGUGGCCAGGUAACUCGAGGAUGGAGGGGAAUUCGCAUAGAAUAAGCCUGCACUCUUCGAGAAAAUACAUAGGAUAAUUAUGAAAUAAGGUACUG